rnacentral:rRNA from 1 species
UACAGAGGGUGCGAGCGUUAAUCGGAAUUACUGGGCGUAAAGAGCUCGUAGGCGGCUUAGUAAGUCGGGUGUGAAACCUCCAGGCUCAACCUGGAGACGCCACCCGAUACUGCUAUAGCUAGAGUCCAGUAGGGGAGUGCGGAAUUCCCGGUGUAGCGGUGAAAUGCGCAGAUAUCGGGAGGAACACCAGCGGCGAAGGCGGCACUCUGGGCUGGAACUGACGCUCAGGAGCGAAAGCGUGGGUAGCGAACAGG